rnacentral:rRNA from 1 species
GAUGAACGCUAGCUACAGGCUUAACACAUGCAAGUCGAGGGGCAGCAUGAACUUAGCUUGCUAAGGCCGAUGGCGACCGGCGCACGGGUGAGUAACACGUAUCCAACCUGCCGUCUACUCUUGGACAGCCUUCUGAAAGGAAGAUUAAUACAAGAUGGCAUCAUGAGUCCGCAUGUUCACAUGAUUAAAGGUGUUCCGGUAGACGAUGGGGAUGCGUUCCAUUAGAUAGUAGGCGGGGUAACGGCCCACCUAGUCUUCGAUGGAUAGGGGUUCUGAGAGGAAGGUCCCCCACAUUGGAACUGAGACACGGUCCAA